rnacentral:rRNA from 1 species
ACAAGCCUGAGAAACGGCUAGUAGGACUAGGUCUGCAGCAGGCGCGAAACUUACACAAUGCUAGAUUAUCUAUAGCGAUGUAGUGAAGAAAAAUAACGAUGUACUUCCGUUUAAACAUGGUAGUACAAUUGGAAUGAGACGACUCUAAACCAGUUAGUCGAGUAACAAAUGGAGGGCAAGUCUGGUGCCAGCAGCCGCGGUAAUUCCAGCUCCAUUAGCAUACAUUAAAGUUGUUGCGGUUAAAAAGCUCGUAGUUGAAUUUUAGGCGGGCUCUAUUGGGAUGCAUGCUGAAAAGGCUCGCAAGAUACCUCUGAUAAACAUUGUUUUUCAUGUUCUUACGUAGCUGGCUGUAUUUUCCCUAUAGGAACCCGUCGUUUCGUCACUUAUUCGAGUGCGAAGCGUGCUGGAACAUAGCGAAACUUCGGUUUCAAUGUUACAGCAAGUUUACCUUGAGAAAAUUAGAGUGCUCACAGCAGGCAGUUGGGGUGUAAAAGCUCCUUUAUGCUUGAAUAAUGUUGCAUGGAAUAAUAGAAUACGGCCUCGGUUCUAUUCUGUUGGUCUUAUAGAACAACAAACAAGUUGGUUAAAGCGAUCAAAAGUUAACUCGUGGGUGUGGCUUUAUAGUUAAAUUAAUAUCAAUUUUGUUGUCUGGGGCCUUAAAAUCUCAGUACCAUAUUGGUAAUUUAUUUAGCUUUUAGUCAUUUAAAGCACCCCCUGUUAAUUAGCUUUCUAAUCAACUGAGGCAAUGGUUAAAAGAAAUAGUCGCGGCGGCAUCAGUACUGCAUCGUGAGAG